UACGUAGGGUGCAAGCGUUGUCCGGAAUUAUUGGGCGUAAAGAGCUCGUAGGCGGCUUGUCGCGUCUGCUGUGAAAACCCGAGGCUCAACCUCGGGCCUGCAGUGGGUACGGGCAAGCUAGAGUGCGGUAGGGGAGACUGGAAUUCCUGGUGUAGCGGUGAAAUGCGCAGAUAUCAGGAGGAACACCGAUGGCGAAGGCGGGUCUCUGGGUAGUAACUGACGCUGAGGAACGAAAGCGUGGGUAGCGAACAGG
rnacentral:rRNA from 1 species